rnacentral:ncRNA from 1 species
CGAAAAGCGAUGAAGAGGAGUAGUAGGUAAGUUGUUCGUCUCAGAGAGCCGGCGGCCGCUGCAAGCCGGUACGAAGAACUGCUGAACUCGCCUUGGAGCUGCGGGAAUGAAACUUAAAGGUUAGUUUCCGUCGUGAGCCUGCGUAAAAGGAAAUGAAGGGUUUUGCAGCAGAAUUGCAAAAUCGAAUCAGGGUGGUACCGCGAAGCAUUCGAGCUCUCGCCCCUGUA